UACGUAGGGGGCAAGCGUUAUCCGGAUUUAUUGGGUUUAAAGGGUGCGUAGGCGGAAUAUCAAGUCAGCGGUCAAAGCCCGGGGCUCAACCCCGGCCCGCCGUUGAAACUGGCAGUCUCGAGUUGGAGAGAAGUAUGCGGAAUGCGCGGUGUAGCGGUGAAAUGCAUAGAUAUCGCGCAGAACUCCGAUUGCGAAGGCAGCAUGCCGGCGCCCGACUGACGCUGAAGCACGAAAGCGUGGGUAUCGAACAGG
rnacentral:rRNA from 1 species